ACCCGCUGAAUUUAAGCAUAUCAAUAAGCGGAGGAAAAGAAACCAACAGGGAUUGCCCUAGUAACGGCGAGUGAACAGGCAAGAGCUCAGAUUUGAAAGCCUUUUUGGCAUUGUAUUCUGAAGUCAGUUUCCUGAGUAUCGGUGUUUAAGUCUUCUGGAAAGGAGCGCCAUGGAGGGUGAUAGCCCCGUACGACACCUCACUCAUUGUAGGAUUCUGACGUGGAGUCGAGUUGUUUGGGAAUGCAGCUCAAAAGGGUGGUAUGCUCCAUCUAAAGCUAAAUAUCUGUGAGAGACCGAUAGCGAACAAGUACUGUGAAGGAAAGAUGAAAAGAACUUUGAAAAGAGAGUGAAAAAGUACGUGAAAUUGUUGAAAUGGAAGGAUAUGCCGCUAACAAUGUAGAGCCGUGUUUGGGGGGAAGACAAAAGCUGAAGAAUGUAUCUCUUUUAGGGAAUUAUAACUUCAGUCAAUAUUCCCAUCCGGGCGCGAGGACCUCAGGCUCUACUAAAUGGUGGUCUAUCACCCGUCUUGAAACACGGCCAAA
rnacentral:rRNA from 1 species